UGAGCAGAAGGAAGACAUCAGGUAGCUCAUGGAGGAAAAGAGCAAAGCAGAAGAAACAAAGGCAGCAGGAUGAGGAAUGAUUCCAUAGAAGCAACACUGCGGCUGGUCCUGGCCGGGGUCACAAGACUCACUUCAACCCUAUGUCUCCUGUUUCCUCCACAUCAGACCCUGCCUGCCCUCCUCUGGUCUUUUCACACCUCACAGGCAAGAACAUCCAAGUCUAUCCAGAGAUGAUCAAGAAUGAUUGUUUUGAUGGAAAGCAUCAUGUUCGACUUCUGCAGUGGCUACUUUGUUCCAGAUUCAACAGACACUAAAGGAUAGCCC